UACAGAGGGUGCAAGCGUUGUUCGGAAUUAUUGGGCGUAAAGGGCGCGUAGGCGGUUCGGCAAGUCUCUAGUGAAAUCUCAGGGCUCAACUCUGAGUCUGCUGGGGAAACUGCCGGGCUUGAGUGUGGGAGAGGAGAGUGGAAUUCCCGGUGUAUCGGUGAAAUGCGUAGAUAUCGGGAGGAACACCUGUGGCGAAAGCGGCUCUCUGGACCGUAACUGACGCUGAGACACGAAAGCGUGGGUAGCAAACAGG
rnacentral:rRNA from 1 species